rnacentral:rRNA from 1 species
UACGGGGGGAGCAAGCGUUGUUCGGAUUUACUGGGCGUAAAGGGCGCGUAGGCGGCCUCUGCAAGUCGACUGUGAAAUCUCCGGGCUUAACCCGGAAAGGUCAGCCGAUACUGCAGGGCUAGAGUGCAGAAGGGGCAACUGGAAUUCUCGGUGUAGCGGUGAAAUGCGCAGAUAUCAGGAGGAACACCGGUGGCGAAAGCGGUUCUCUGGGCAUUACCUGACGCUGAGGAGCGAAAGUGUGGGGAGCGAACAGG